UACGUAGGGAGCAAGCGUUGUCCGGAAUCACUGGGCGUAAAGGGCGCGUAGGCGGCCCUGGUAAGUCUGCGGUGAAAGCCCGGGGCUCAACCCCGGGUCGGCCGCGGGUACUGCCGGGCUGGAGUGCCGUAGGGGCAGGCGGAAUUCCGGGUGUAGCGGUGGAAUGCGUAGAGAUCCGGAAGAACACCGGUGGCGAAGGCGGCCUGCUGAGCGGCGACUGACGCUGAGGCGCGACAGCGUGGGGAGCAAACAGG
rnacentral:rRNA from 1 species